rnacentral:rRNA from 1 species
UAGGGAAUCUUCCGCAAUGGACGCAAGUCUGACGGAGCAACGCCGCGUGAGUUAAGAAGGAUUUCGGUUCGUAAAACUCUGUUGUUAGAGAAGAACAGCGCAUAGAGUAACUGUUAUGCGUGUGACGGUAUCUAACCAGAAAGCCACGGCUAACUACGUGCCAGCAGCCGCGGUAAUACGUAGGUGGCAAGCGUUGUCCGGAUUUAUUGGGCGUAAAGCGAGCGCAGGCGGUCAAUUAAGUCUGAUGUGAAAGCCCCCGGCUCAACCGGGGAGGGUCAUUGGAAACUGGUUGACUUGAGUGCAGAAGAGGAGAGUGGAAUUCCAUGUGUAGCGGUGAAAUGCGUAGAUAUAUGGAGGAACACCAGUGGCGAAGGCGACUCUCUGGUCUGUAACUGACGCUGAGGCUCGAAAGCGUGGGUAGCAAACAGG